rnacentral:rRNA from 1 species
UACGAAGGGGGCUAGCGUUGCUCGGAAUCACUGGGCGUAAAGCGCACGUAGGCGGAUCUUUAAGUCAGGGGUGAAAUCCUGGAGCUCAACUCCAGAACUGCCUUUGAUACUGGGGAUCUCGAGUCCGGAAGAGGUGAGUGGAACUCCGAGUGUAGAGGUGAAAUUCGUAGAUAUUCGCAAGAACCCCAGUGGCGAAGGCGGCUCACUGGCCCGGUACUGACGCUGAGGUGCGAAAGCGUGGGGAGCAAACAGG